rnacentral:rRNA from 1 species
UACGUAGGGGGCGAGCGUUGUUCGGAGUCACUGGGCGUAAAGGGCGCGUAGGCGGUGCGUAAAGUCAGGCGUGAAAGCCCCGGGCUUAACCUGGGAAUUGCGCUUGAUACUGACGUGCUAGAGAACGGGAGAGGAUGGCGGAAUUCCCAGUGUAGAGGUGAAAUUCGUGAGAUAUUGGGAAGAACACCGGUGGCGAAGGCGGCCAUCUGGACCGUUUCUGACGCGUGAGG